rnacentral:rRNA from 1 species
CCUACGGGAGGCAGCAGUGAGGAAUAUUGGUCAAUGGGCGAGAGCCUGAACCAGCCAAGUCGCGUGAGGGAAGACGGUCCUAUGGAUUGUAAACCUCUUUUGCCGGGGAGCAAAAAGCGGUACGUGUACCGCAUCGAGAGUACCCGGAGAAAAAGCAUCGGCUAACUCCGUGCCAGCAGCCGCGGUAAUACGGAGGAUGCGAGCGUUAUCCGGAUUUAUUGGGUUUAAAGGGUGCGCAGGCGGCGAGUUAAGUCAGCGGUAAAAUUUCGGGGCUCAACCCCGACGAGCCGUUGAGACUGGCGUGCUAGAGUGGGCGAGAGGUAUGCGGAAUGCGUGGUGUAGCGGUGAAAUGCAUAGAUAUCACGCAGAACUCCGAUUGCGAAGGCAGCAUACCGGCGCCCAACUGACGCUCAGGCACGAAAGCGUGGGUAUCGAACAGGAUUAGAUACCCCAGUAGUC